rnacentral:lncRNA from 1 species
CUAAAAUGCAGCAGGUUGGGCGCAGGAGGCCACCCCUAUUCAGCGCGCGCCCGCGCGCGCGAACACGCAGCGCCCGCUCCGCGCGGGGACCCGCCGCCAGCGAUGGCGCUUCCGCGGGAUUAGAACGGGCAAAAUCCCCCUUCGCGGAGCUCGCUCCGGGUCACCCUCAAGGUCACGCCCACGGACCACGCCCGAGGCCCGGCUCGUACAGAUCGGAGCGUCUGGAUACCGCGGUCCCGGUUCCCUCCUCAGAAUUUCCAGGCCCGGCUCGGACUCUUGGUUACCUCCCCGGCCUCCCCACCCGGUUCCGCGUCCUUAGACAGCUCUCCCGGAACGGAGCUCCCAGUGCCCUCCUUGGCCUCCUCAGCACCCCUGGCACCCACCAAGCCUCACCCCCGGCCCAGGUUGCUGAGAGGUGGAUGUUAAAAAUCAACACCAGGACUACAGUAAGGCUGAAAUCAUUGAAGUGCUUGGAGUGCAGAACUGAAAGAGGUACUUACUAACUUUUAGGGCUGUGUAAGUGUAGUGUUGUUUGAAGCUCUGUGUGUGUUUCUGUAAAGACUGGUCUGGAAAACUGACCAGAGGAAAACAUUUCCUUGCUUUUCCUCUGCUCUCACAUGAAAACAACAAACACAGUAAGAGUCAACACCAAAGACUUCAAUGACCCCCAGAUAUGUGGGGAUUUCCCCCUACCAGCAAGCAAGCAAUCAGUUCUAACUGCGUAUCCUCCAAUUUAAUUCUGACACUAUCUGCCUGGAAAUAGCAUCAGAUCCCUCAGGUUGAGGGCUUAGUCCCCAAGACUGCCAUCCCUUCAGACACCAGUUGCAAGUCUGGGCCUCUAGAACUUCUGACCAGCUGGGCUUCAAGUUGGCAUUCCCAGACAUUUACAGUGGCUCAUGGCUGGAGGAUCACUUGAGGCCAAGAGUUCAAGACCAGCCUGGGCAACAGAGUGAGACCUGUCUCAAGAAAAUAAAAAGUAAAAUUAGCUGUGCCUGGAGGUACAAGCCUGUGUAGUCCUAGCUACUUGGGAGGCUGAGGUGAAAGGCUCACUUGAGCCCAGGAAUUCAAGGUUACAGUGAGCAGUGAUCUGUGCCAUUGCACUCCAGCCUGGGCGACAGAGCGUGAUCCUGUCUUAAAAAAAAAAAGAAAAAAAAAAAGAUGGGGUUCUCACAACCCCCUCUUUGGGUUCAAUUAAUUUGCUGAAGUGCUCACAGAACUCAGGGAAACACUUAUGUUUGCUGGUUUAUUAUAAAGGAUAUUACAAAGGAUACAAUUGAAGAGAUUCGUUGGGCAAGGUAUGGGGAAGGGGCAUAUUGUUGGAGGCACAGAAUAGGCAAGACUUCAGAGAAAGUUUCUCUUCUCUCCCCACUUCUUGCUGCCAUUGUCUGUUAGGUUUGAUCCACAAUGGAUGGAUCUCAUUCUACUUUUCCAUUUCCCUAAUAUUUGUCAUGGCCCCUUUGAAUCUUGCCAUUCACUGUUCUGAUUUUCACAGUGCUGGGGGUCAUCAGUAUGUUCCUGAGGUGGAAUAGCACUCAUUUCAGAACAAGGAUGACAGAGGUGUGGGGUGCAAACAUACACUUAGGGAACAGGGCAGACCAAGUGAAUGACAACUCUCUUUCCAUCACACCUAUCCUCAAAUCAUGAGAUACUUAUCCACUUUUACCUCUGAAUACAGGACUGUGGUUCUCCUAUGCAAAGACAGCAGGGAGUGGACACUAGAAGGGUAAAACAACGC